UACAGAGGGUGCAAGCGUUAAUCGGAAUUACUGGGCGUAAAGCGCAUGUAGGUGGUUUAAUAAGUUGGAUGUGAAAUCCCUGGGCUUAACCUAGGAACUGCAUUCAAAACUAUUAAGCUAGAGUAAAGUAGAGGGAAGUGGAAUUUCCGGUGUAGCGGUGAAGUGCGUAGAUAUCGGAAAGAACAUCAGUGGCGAAGGCGGCUUCCUGGACUUAUACUGACACUGAGGUGCGAAAGCGUGGGGAGCAAACAGG
rnacentral:rRNA from 1 species